UGAUAAAAUUCCAAACGUAAUGUUUAUGUAUGUUGAACCUUUUCAAUUUAUAAGACUUCGCAGAAGUUAUUUUUAAAUGUGCUAACAUAAAUAUUAUAACGAUUGUAUUCCUUCUUAUGCGGUGAACCAUAACACUUAUUAUCACAUUGAUUUAAUUUAUAAGUGAGCAAACAUAAAAAGUAAAGUUAUCCUGCUAUAGUUAAAAAUUAUGUGUAUCCACCUAUGAAUUUAAAGUUUGCCCGCUUUGAUUCAGGACCAAAACGACGUCAGUGUUCGCGCCAAUCGAAAGCGUCGGAGAGUCUUCUGCUGAGUUGAGUGAAAUUGCACCAUAUUAAAAGGCAGGAGGAAAUGCAAAAUACAAGAGUCAAGGAUGGCCCCGGAUGGCGUUCGUCUUAGUCUGCAGUGCGGCCAAGACAAAGCAACAACAAGCGAGCCGGAAGUUGAACCGCCAACAAAAAUAGAACCCGAAUCUACCUCUGCCACCCCCACGGAUGAUGACGACGACCAGGGAAAUCAGACGCUAUUCAAGGGAAACCGCGAUGAUGAGAGAUGUCACUCAGGAUCGAUCAAGAAUUCCCGGCCGCGACACAACGACAAAUCCACAGUGACGAGUUUCAGCAAGCGCAGACGGAGGCCCCAUCUCGCAACAACCGUUGCGUUUUCAUUUUUAAAUUAAAAGUUCAUUAAAUCCUUGACUUAAUCUACAACAAAAA